UGUGUUUGUCAGUCAGUGAGUGUCUUUCAUAGUCAUUGUUGUAUCCCUAGUCUCCUUGUGUUUUUGAAGUAAGUUUUUGUUGUUUUUUUCAUUUAGUUCUUUUUAAAUGAAUCCUUUUUUGUCGGCACUUGGGUCCUUUUUUGUUUAGCUUGUGACAAGGAGCAUGUAAAGGAGGAACAGUGCAGGUCCUAGUAUGGUGCCUUGAGGUACUCCACAGGUGAUGGAGGUAGACACAGAGAAUUCAUGACUAGAUUGGAGGGAAAAAGAUCUGGCCUACAGGCGGGAUUUCAACUUCCUCACAGAUGCCUUGCUGCCAGUCGAGUCAGUCGUGCCUCUGAUCGGUCAAUCUAGUAAAUUUAAGAACUUUUACACAAAUGAAUAACAAAAAGGAGGCUGAGGGAACCCUGAGUAAUCCAGACCGAACCCUGUACACGUGUUUAUUUUUCCUCUAAAAAUUGUCUCUUUUCGCUUCUCUUGAACAUGGUUUCUGGUGCUCCCACAGACAGCCCCAAGUGGACAUUUGUGGAACUGCAGUUUUCAGCACUUGGGCAUUAGCCUCAUUUCUCAAGACAGGGGGUUUCUGCUUGGGGUGGAUAUGCGAGUGUGUUAUCUGUGAAAAUUAAGUGAGUGAAUACUUUUAUUUUCAUUUGGUUUUAACACAAAAAAACAAUAAUACAGGUUAUAUUUAUCUUUGCGACAGAGCUGAAACUUUCCAUGAAUUAUACUGACAAAUAAAGUCAGGUGUACCUUAGUGAUACCUCUAAACCUAUUCGAAAGAAGCAGGUGUAUUAAAGCGAAGUCAGGAGAGGAUAUUUUGAAGCUCAGCACAGCCGAGGUUUGGAAUAAAAUCUUCAUUUAUUUCAAAUUUAAGGUCCUGCAAACCUAUUUUCUGGGUCGGCCUCUCACUAUGACUGAUGGGCUUUUGCAUGAGCAAAGAUUUGUCUCUUAAACUCCACAUGCACACUCCACUUUCCAUAGACCCUCCAGUUAGAUCUUACAAAAACAGAAACUUGAUGGAAAUUGUAGGUGCUGCAGAGGGAAAAUGUUUUAUGUUCCAAAAACUUAUAUUAGAAAUUCAUGAAUUAGGUUUCAGUGUGAUGUGGUGUGUUCUCAGCUGGGACCUGACUGGAUAAAAAGAAAUCUAGAGGAACGAACUGUGAGUGUUUUGAGCGCUGCGAGGCAACACUGAAGACAGGAAGAUGCAUACACUUGAGAUAGAACUUUAUAAAUAGAGUUGGAUAAGGAAGAAACCUAAAUAAAAGUUAAAUGUGAGCUGAGAACACAACAAACUAAGAUAGACGAGGAUAUCUGCAGUGGAACAGGAUGUGCGGUUGUAUGUCUCGCUAUGAAUAGCCUUUUCCUUUCAGAUGAAUGAUGAUCUGCAGAGAGGGAACUGAAUCAUUGUAAUGAGUUUAUUUGUGAAUGUGACUCCAAAAAGAAUUAUAUAAUGCACAGGAAAGUAAUUAUCCCUGGGGCAGUAGGUUAUCUAAUACAAAGAUUCAGCGCGAGAGCAAUUUUCCAAAUUGGGCAGUGAUCCCCUAAAGUGUCUGCAAAAUAUGAGAGAUAAGAGGUGGUUUUAUAUCUGCACAGCAUGAUGUUUUCUGCAGGAGAAUUUCUGCUAAUUACACCUGAAAAUGCUGUACGGUGCCAGUGUUUCCCAUGACACACACUGCCAAAACAAACCUCUUAAAAUAGAUUUAUUGAUCCUAAAUAUCAGUCUUUUAGAGGAUUUUUUGGUGCACAAUUGCAGUCAAGGCACCAUAUCUAACAUAAAACAUAAAAAUAUAAAGGUAUGAUACAAAAACUUGACAUUAAUAUAGUUUUUAAAACAGAAUUAGAUGAUUUGCACACAGUUAAAUACCUGUAUUUAAUUGAAAAUACUGCAUAGACAACUUGUUCAGUGCAGGAGCUGAAAAUUGUAUUAAAAAGAAAACACAUCCCUGUUUCGAUUUGGUUCUGCAGUUUUGAAAAUGAAAUGUUGCCCUAUUCCUACCUAAUACAAGAUUUAAUCUGCCCAACAGUCUGAGGUCCACUAUUAUACCGAUAAUAUUAUGCACCGCUUAAAUAUUUGUCUGUUUAAAGAAAGCAGAAUGACGUUUUUUAUCUGGAAACUCAAACAUACAUGACAAAAUUAGCAAAUACAUGACUCACCAGUAUGUCCACAGGGGGCGCCAAAUUCAACACCAACUCCCACAGAAGUUUUGACUUUAUUGAUGGAAGACUUGUGUGUCAAAUUAAGCUUAAAUUGGUCAAAAGUAGAGUUAUUAUCUGGAGAGAAACCACAGGGGUAUUUUAAGUUCUUUUCAUCCUAUUAUCUUGUUUUCGAGCAAAGUUUUGCUUUUGUUUCUCAGUAAAGAAGUAAUAUUGAAAAGUAACAUUUUACCUUUUUGUGAUAAAGAUGUCUCAAACUUAGCCAGAAAUACUUAGAUCACGAUAUCGAGCUUCUGUUGUAUAAUAUUUUCCAGAUUUAAGGCACUUACUCUUUCCAAACACAAUGAAAAUGUUGUUUUUAGGCGAUUCCUGACAACAUAUGUCUUGAGUUUAAUUAAAAUGCUUAGAUUAUGCAUAUUUGACCAUCUGGAUGAUGUUUUUUGUAUCAUUAUAAACCAUUUUCCUCCAGCCCCUCAUCCUCUUUAUACUAAUUUGAGUGUAUUUCAGUCUGUUUCAGCUCUAUACUGGUGAUAAUCUCUGGAUAUAAAACAUCGACUUCUCAAAAGGGUGUAAAAUGAAAACAGCCUCGGGUAAAGCCAGCACUUGUUUUCUUUUUCUCUCUCCACAAAACUCAAACAAGGUUAUCUUUUUACCUAAGUGGACUUUUUCACAGCAGAGUUAUUAUUUUUUCCUCGAAUGCACGGUGAAGUCUCUAUAAUAACAUGUAUGCAACGCUGGAACUCCAUUAAAAUCAACACAAAUGAAGCAUGGCAGCAGACCUGACCCUCUGUUCCUCUCCAGGAAAAAACCCAGCUGCUCUCAGCGUCAGAAGAAAUCCUCCUCAAACAUCCCGACUUUGUGCACAACAGAUUCCAUUUAAAUGAUUUAUGUGCGGCACAGUCACUGCUUUGAUAAAGUUAUGUCCUAAUCUUAAAGCAACAACAUUUCACCAAGGUUUCUGAGGGAUGAAAUGAUUCAAAAGAUAUUUUUUCUCUCUGCUUUGAAGGUUUUUCUCUCUUUAUUUUCAAUUCACAAUGUGGACUGAAGCAACACCGACCUCAAACCGUCACUUCUUUAUGUGAUAAACAAAAAGCUCCACCUCUGCAACACUGUUUUAGCUGCAAACAGGGGGUUUAGUGUUUCACUUUACGUCUAACAACACUGAUUAAAUUAUUUAUUGUGCUUACUUAACCAUUCUGUUUAAAGUAGUUUGAACUGAGAUUGAAACUGCAUGACGCUGCUUUAGUUUUAUAAAGAUGUGUAAACGCUCAGAUAUAUUCUCACCCGCUGGGAUGCAUUUAUUUAUUCUUCAGUAGCUUAUAAAAGUCCCUCUGAGAGCAAGUUUACUGACUUGUGUCUAAUAAAAAGAGAUACAACUGCAAGUUACUGCAGAAAUAUAAAACAAAUCUUGUUUGUUUUGAUACCAGUAUAUAUUUAUCAUGUUUCACAUUUGUUUGGCCCACUUAAGUCCUCUUAAAGUUGGAUUUACCUGGGUUAUUUUUUUGGUUAUAAUGGCAUUUGAGUUAGAAGUAAAAAGGGAAAAAACUGCAUUUACUGCUGAGCGGGGUCACUACCUAUAACACCAACAUCAGUAACGACUACUACUGCUAUAUUUCUAACAAGAUCCGGUGAGUUGGCAAGCCAGUUAAGUACACAAAUAUCAGGGUCAGCAUAACUGAAGUUUUGGCGUCGUAGGCAGGUGUUGGAAAAGGAAAUCAGCACUUCUACAAGGUUUGUCAGCAGAUACAGGUAUAAAAAAACACAGCAGACCAACACCAGCAAAUGACAUGACACCCCAUAUUCUUGCAGUCUACCAACCCCUGAUACUGAUGUUUCUACUUUAGCUCCGGUAAGACUCUGUCUGUGGUUCAGUGGUGUCUUGAUAUUAAAAAAUGCACAGUUGGAUUCCCUUCUCUGAAGAUGUCCCUGUGUGGUGACUCUUGAUGAAAUGCCAGCCUCAGUCCACCCCUUGUGGCGCUCUCCAUGGUUCUCCAAUCAACUUUUCUUGGCAAACUCAAGGCUGUGGUCAUGCCUGUUGUUUGUGUACCCUUUUCCAACCACACUUUCCCUUCCAGUCAAAUUUAAUUAACUUGAUUUGAAUCUGCACUCUCUGAAAGGCCAACCUCCUUAGAAAUGGCUUAUCUUCUGUAACUUGGGUGUUGAUGUACAUUUUCUGGGCAACUAUCAACAGCAGAGCUACCAAGCGUCACGCUUUGAGUGUGACAGCCACGCAAUUUGACCCAUUCUCACGCCACACGCCAAACUUGACAUUUCUCACGCUUAUUUUUCCCCGUUCAAUACUCUGUAUUUGUUUUUUUCACGAUAAUAAACUUGGCUUGCCGUAGUUCGAGUAACUCUGAUUGACUGACCGAGAUAGCAAAUCCCAGACCAAUUCAUCAGUCCUUUGUGCCUAAUGCUGCGUUCGAGUUUCCUCGGAAGUCAGAUGUCGGAGCUGAAAAUGACGUCACACCCGAGUUCCCAGCGUUUCAGUUACAAAGUUUGAAAAAAAGCAGAAUUGUAGGCCUGAAACAAGAUGGCUACGUCUACAAAAGUUAUUUUAGCUCUUGCCUUGUAUUCGGACAAGGCAAGCGCUAAAAUAAUUUUCGUAGACGCGGCCAUCUUGUUAGAUGAUGGGCAGGAAAUUUCUUAGUUUUAUUUUUUUUUUAUCAAGGUCAAUGAUGUGUCAAUAAUUAACAACAACAUUAAUUUUGAUUUAUUAUUGUGUUUGAUAUAUCGUCCGAUUUCUAAAAAGUUACGUUUAGGUCCUUAGAUGACAAAAAUGUCCAUCUCAUAAAAGUGCUAUAAAAAUAUGAUACAUUAAUAUUUCUUUGAACUUCUUUUUGCUUAAAUCUUUUCAUUAACUUCAUGAAUAGUGUUUUUGUCUUACAGUGAAGAUUUCGAAAAAAAAUAUUAACGUCCAAAAUAAUCGCACGACAAAACCGAUCCCGGUGUGAAAGGACCUUUACUGUAACUACAUGUCAA